CCAGACUCCUACGGGAGGCAGCAGUCGGGAAUAUUGCGCAAUGGAGGGAACUCUGACGCAGUGACGCCGCGUGCAGGAAGAAGGUUUUCGGAUUGUAAACUGCUUUAGACAGGGAAGAUAAUGACAGUACCUGUAGAAUAAGCCCCGGCUAACUACGUGCCAGCAGCCGCGGUAAUACGUAGGGGGCAAGCGUUAUCCGGAUUUACUGGGUGUAAAGGGAGCGUAGACGGCAGAGCAAGUCUGAAGUGAAAGCCCGCGGCCCAACUGCGGGACUGCUUUGGAAACUGCCCGGCUAGAGUGCUGGAGAGGUAAGCGGAAUUCCUAGUGUAGCGGUGAAAUGCGUAGAUAUUAGGAGGAACACCAGUGGCGAAGGCGGCUUACUGGACAGUAACUGACGUUGAGGCUCGAAAGCGUGGGGAGCAAACAGGAUUAGAUACCCGAGUAUAG
rnacentral:rRNA from 1 species